CUCUUGCAUUCUACAACAACCAAAUAAGAAUGCAGUCACUCAAAAUUCUUCUUCUACACAGAAAAUAGACCACAAAAUAAGAAUGCAAAUAGAGCUUCUUGAGCUGCUAAGAGGUGUCUCGUAUAAUCUAUGAAUCAUGUAUCAUAUUGAAGGGAUCUUUUGCAUGGUGGCAAUUUUUUUUUUUGACAAUUGCAUGGUGGCAAUUUGAACGGACUGAAAGUUGUAUUGAUAGAUGGAGACUCUACUCCCAGUGCUUUCCUCAGAAAGCUCUUUUCCUGAAAUAUGAAGUGUUAAAACAAUGUUGCAAACGGAUGGGCCACAUAGAUAUUCUCAGUCCCAAUUGCAAUCUGUUCUACGAUUUGGAAAGAACCACAAUGGGGACAAUGUGCAUAAGGAGAUUGCAGCAACAGAGGACAACGAGUUCCUGCACUCCAGUGGGGUUCGCUCC